GGGAAGGUAGCUCAGUAGGUUAGAGCAGCGUCGUAUGCGCGGGUCGCCGGUUCGAGUCCGGUCCUUCCCU
rnacentral:tRNA from 1 species